UACGUAGGGGGCAAGCGUUGUCCGGAAUUAUUGGGCGUAAAGCGCGCGCAGGCGGUUCUUUAAGUCUGGUGUAUAAGCCCAGGGCUCAACCUUGGGAUGCACGGGAAACUGGGGAACUGGAGUGCAGGAGAGGAAAGUGGAAUUCCACGUGUAGCGGUGAAAUGCGUAGAGAUGUGGAGGAACACCAGUGGCGAAGGCGACUUUCUGGCCUGUAACUGACGCUGAGGCGCGAAAGCGUGGGGAGCAAACAGG
rnacentral:rRNA from 1 species